rnacentral:rRNA from 1 species
AUUGAACGCUGGCGGCAUGCCUUACACAUGCAAGUCGAACGGUAACAGGUCUACGGAUGCUGACGAGUGGCGAACGGGUGAGUAAUACAUCGGAACGUGCCUAGUAGUGGGGGAUAACUACUCGAAAGAGUGGCUAAUACCGCAUGAGAUCUACGGAUGAAAGCAGGGGAUCGCAAGACCUUGUGCUACUAGAGCGGCCGAUGGCAGAUUAGGUAGUUGGUGGGAUAAAAGCUUACCAAGCCGACGAUCUGUAGCUGGUCUGAGAGGACGAUCAGCCACACUGGGACUGAGACACGGCCCAGACUCCUACGGGAGGAAGCAGUGGGGAAUUUUGGACAAUGGGCGCAAGCCUGAUCCAGCAAUGCCGCGUGCAGGAUGAAGGCCUUCGGGUUGUAAACUGCUUUUGUACGGAACGAAAAGCCCUGGGUUAAUACCCUGGGGUCAUGACGGUACCGUAAGAAUAAGCACCGGCUAACUACGUGCCAGCCGCCGCGGUAACAC